rnacentral:rRNA from 1 species
GACGAACCGUGCGAACGUUGUUCGGAAUCAUUGGGCUUAAAGGGCGCGUAGGCGGGUGGACAAGUCAGGGGUGAAAGCCCACGGCUCAACCGUGGAAGUGCCCUUGAUACUGUCCGUCUGGAGGGAGGUAGGGGCGUGCGGAACUUCCGGUGGAGCGGUGAAAUGCGUAGAUAUCGGAAGGAACACCGGUGGCGAAAGCGGCGCGCUGGACCUCUUCUGACGCUGAGGCG